rnacentral:rRNA from 1 species
UACGUAGGGUGCAAGCGUUAAUCGGAAUUACUGGGCGUAAAGCGUGCGCAGGCGGUUGUGCAAGACAGAGGUGAAAUCCCCGGGCUUAACCUGGGAACUGCAUCCGAAACUACAAGUCUUGAAUGCUUCAGAGGUUGGUAGAAUUCCAGGUGUAGGAGUGAAAUCCGUAGAUAUCUGGAGGAAUACCGGAGGCGAAGGCGGCCAACUGGGCUUGUUCUGACGCUGAGGUGCGAAAGCAUGGGGAGCGAACAGG